rnacentral:piRNA from 1 species
UAGGAUCAGGACCAUGAAUCAAGUGGAGU